CCGCCGCCGCCGCCGCCGCCGCCGCCGCCGCCGCCGCGUGUUUGGCUUGCGGUUUCUAAACCUAGAAAGAUCCCUGACUGGAGUAGCCCUUGGGUUGUGCUGCUGCCCCUCCUCCUCACAGGCAGCUGCACGUGGGCUGCUCGGACACAAACUGCAGCUUAGGUACACGUUCCUUGGAUUCCCCUGUAGCCUUUUGGAAAGGGAAGGAGCACUUACUAAAUUCACUGGGAAGUGACAGAGAGCCUUUCCUUGGCCAGGUUGGACAGGUGCUUCUGCCCUCUUCUCAACUAGUUCUCAACCUUGGCCUCUAAAGACUUAGGCACUAAGAUGGUUUUGAACAUCAAGUUGGCAUCGUAGGAUGACUCCAGCUCCACUUAGAAUGCCUGCCUGACAAAGCUCAAGGUGCCAAGAGAAUUUAGCAUUUGUUCAGCCAACGCCAGAAGAGAGUCUCUGCUCCUCAAUGUCUCUAGGAGAGGAGGAGCCUAACUUCCAUAAACUGCUUAGUGUCCCCAGGUGGAGUGGGGAACACAGACCUGGUUCCUGUCUUCAAGCAACUCAGGAUCUAAUCUGCAGACAAGACAGGGAUUCAUCCAAAAGCAACGCACGACGAUGUUGUGGAGGCCGGUGGGAGUGAGAAGACCGAGGAGGAGGCCCCAGUACCUGAGGUGGAGG